GACGAACGCUGGCGGCGUGCCUAACACAUGCAAGUCGACAUGAGUGGCGAACGGGUGAGUAAUACGUGGGUAACUUGCCCUCUUUUUUGGGAUAAGCCUUGGAAACGGGGUCUAAUACCGAAUAACGGGGGCUGGGCUCGGGGCCUAUCAGCUUGUUGGUGGGGUGAUGGCCUACCAAGGCGGUGACGGGUAGCCGGCCCGAGAGGGUGAACGGGCACAUAGGGAAUGGGAUACGGCCCAGAGGGCUACGGGAGGGGGAAGUGUGGGAUAUUGCGCAAUGGGCGAAAGCGUGAUGCAGCGGCGCCGCGUGGGGGAUGAAGGCUUUCAGAUUGUAAAACUCUUUCGCGAACGAACAGGUAGGUGAAGAAGAAGCGCCGGCUAACUACGUGCCAGCCGCCGCGGUAAUAC
rnacentral:rRNA from 1 species